GCAAUAAUCCAAACAAGAUGAAAGGAAAGCAUGAAUUAAGAUUUCCAUCUAAGGACGAGAAAUAAUAAGGCUAAGUUUGGCAAUAUUUUGCAAAUGGUAGAAACAGGAUCGAACCAGAGAUUUGACAUGAUUUUCAUGUGUAAAGCCUGAGUCAAAGGUUAUCCCAAGGUUUUUAACAGAAGAUUUAGCCAAAAUCCAAGAGGCUCAAGUAUCUACUUUAUCUUUCCAGUGUAUUUAUCUGGUGCAAUAAUGAUUGUUUUGGUUUUUUCUUUAUUUAAUUUCCCCAUCCAGCGCUUAAUUGACUCCAGUCAUUUUAAUAAAAUGUGCAGUUUCGACACUUGUUUUGGAAGAAAAGAAAUAUAUAACUGGAUAUCAUCUGCAUUGCAGCGAUAGGAAAUAUCCUUAAAAAAUGACAGAAUAGGACCAAGACUAAGCAGAUAAAGCAAAAAUAACAAUGGCCCCAAAACAGAGCCCUGUGGAGCACCGAAUUGAACAGGACAGUAAUGGGACCUGUAAUUAGAUGCAGCCAAAAAAGUUGAUCUAUCAGUGAAGUACAAAAACAACCAUCUUAAAGCAGAACAUGAAAUACCAUCUUAACACCUCAACCUAUUUAACAGGGUUGGGUGGUCAAGAGUAUCAAAAGCUGAAGUCACGUCUAACAUAACCAGCACAGAACAUUUACAUGUAUCACUCUGCAUGAAAAUAUCAUUUGAGACUCUAAGAAGAGCCGAUUCAGUUGAGUGGGAUUUACAAAAACCUGACUGAAAAUGGUCCAUAAAGCUAUAUUGGACAAGUAGUUAGCUGCCUGACCACAACCAUCUCUAAAAUCCAGGAAAGGGAGCUUUGUGAUGGGUCUGCAACUGCUAAAGAGAGAAGGAUCCAAAUUUACCUUUUUUAAAAGUGGGUGGAUGACAAUACUCUUCAGACAAACAGGUACCUGACCAGAAGCCUAAGAAGUAUUUACUAUAAGUACAGUAGGACCAAUGCACUAAAAAACACUCUUAACCAAGAUGGCUGGCAGAAUGUCAGGAGAGCAGGAAGAUGCCUUCAUGGUGCUAACAAGCUUAACCAACCCAGGUUUGCAAGCCCAAUGGAUAGACAGAGUGCGGUGGUCAGGGGACAGAAACUGGGUCAGAGCCGGGUAAGCAGAGACAGACAACAGGAUCUGAGGAGGAGGCUUGAAUCGUUGGUCAGGGCACAGAAACAAGGUCAUGAACGAGGAUUCAGACAAGCGGAUCCGAGGGUUUGGCAGAGAGCAGUAGUCAGGAGGCAGAAGCAAGGUCGAUGUCCAGAAUUCAGAAGCCAGUGAGAUAUCCCAUGUGGGCAAGGCAGAGCAGAGGAGAGAAAUUCAAGCGGCAAAAACAAGAUUGGGAUCAGGCAGGCAGACAAGGAAGGAACGCUGGACAUUUACUCACACGAUGGCUUUCCAUAAUCUGGCACUGUUUGUCUGUCAGUGUGCUGCUUAUAAAGCCAGGUGCAGGUGUAAUGUGACGUAGGGCUUGACCUGGAAAACAUGGAACGUAGGGUGGAUUUCCAUGGAGUGGGGUAGUUGGAGGCAGACUGCCAUCAGGUUUACUACUUUGGAAAGGUCCCACAAAACAAGGCGCCAACUUCUUGCACUCCACACGCAGGGGAAGAUCUUUGGUGGAGAGCCAAACCUUCUGACCAACUCGAUAGGCUGGGGCAGGAGUGCGCCUGUUAUGGUGUGGUGUGAUUGACUGGUUCUGUGUGUGUGUUUGUGUUUGUGUGCAUGCUUGUGUACAUUUGUGAGUCUUCCUGCUGUUCAGCAGAACCUCGGUGAUGGGUGUGGCACCAGCUGAACAGCGCACCUGUGGACAAUCUCUACUGCUGUGCUUAAAAGGAGCGGCUGGACAAACAUUCCCUGCCUGUUGGUCCACGCUGUUGGUUUGGCCGACGACCUCCUUUCCGGGUUCUCGGCGUUCAUGUGGAGGAUAGCUCUUCCUUUGAAAGAUCCGUCCUCCAGAGGUUAGCUAACUAACCGAUCCGCUCUGAGCACCUGCCUGCCCACUCACUCACCGAACCAGCCGACCCUCCGAACCGAAAACAAAGCACAUGGAUCACCUCAAGAAAACGCCCCACCAUAAGCCUGCCUCAAAGAUACUCCAGAAACUUAAGCCUUCCUCGUUUUCUGUCAAUAUCCAACUCACUCCCUUCGGAAUAGUUCUAACCCAUCUCUCCUCCACAGAAUGAUCCAGAUCCUGUUUACAGAUUCUCCCUUCUAGAUACUCAGCAAAAUAAACUUGUUGAAAAAAUGUCUUGUCCCUGUGUCUGAGUGUUUCCACAUGUGGGUCAGGAAAAUACCCAGCCAUAUGACAGCGCCGGUGAUUAGCAGCCCUGGACUGCACUUCAAACAUUGCGGUCAUGGUUCUUCUAGUUUUUUUCCAUAUACGUUGGCACCUCAAGGCAGCAGCAUGAGCAGACAGAACCUUGGCCUCCCUUUCUUGGAGGGUGAACACCGGUGGCUGGAAUCCAUGGACGAUGUAGAAAGGGGAUAGACCAGUGGUGCUUGAUGGGAGAGAAUUGAUGGCGUGCUCCACAUACGGUAAGUUGUGCGACCACUUAAUAGGACCGGCGUCACAGAGGAUGUGGAUCUUGGUCUCCACCUCUUAGUUUGCCCUUUCACAUUGUCUAUCAGAUUGAGGAUGAAAACCAGAAGACAAACUGAUGGAGACUCCCAACAUUGAGCAGAACUUUUUCCAGAAACAUGAGAUGCAUUGAGGACCUCUGUCUGAAACGAUGUUUGUGGGGAGACCAUGGAGACAGAAAAACCUCACGGGCCAGAAACUCCCCCAUCCCUCAUCUGAAGGGAACUUUUGAAGAGAAACUAGGUGUACCAUCUUGGAGAACCUGUCAACGACAGUGAGGAUGACAGUGUGACCAUUAGAUGAGGGCAAACCUGUGACAAAGCCCAUCGCCAGGUGAGGCCAAGG